UACAGAGGUCCCAAGCGUUGUUCGGAUUCACUGGGCGUAAAGGGUGCGUAGGUGGUGAGGUAAGUCGGAUGUGAAAUCUCCGAGCUCAACUCAGAAAUGGCAUUGGAAACUACCUUGCUUGAGGGUUGGAGGGGGGACUGGAAUACUUGGUGUAGCAGUGAAAUGCGUAGAUAUCAAGUGGAACACCAGUGGCGAAGGCGAGUCCCUGGACAACUCCUGACACUGAGGCACGAAAGCUAGGGGAGCAAACAGG
rnacentral:rRNA from 1 species